UACGGGGGGGGUAAGCGUUGGUCGGAAUUACUGGGCGUAAAGGGCUCGUAGGCGGCCAACUAAGUCAGACGUGAAAUCCCUCAGCUUAACUGGGGAACUGCGUCUGAUACUGGAUGGCUUGGAUUCGGGAGAGGAAUGCGGAAUUCCAGGUGUAGCGGUGAAAUGCGUAGAUAUCUGGAGGAACACCGGUGGCGAAGGCGGCAUUCUGGACCGAUAUUGACGCUGAGGAGCGAAAGCCAGGGGAGCAAACGGG
rnacentral:rRNA from 1 species